rnacentral:rRNA from 1 species
UACGUAGGGGGCAAGCGUUGUCCGGAAUCAUUGGGCGUAAAGAGCGUGUAGGCGGCCAGAUAAGUCCGCUGUGAAAUCUCGAGGCUCAACUUCGAGCUGUCGGUGGAAACUGUCUGGCUAGAGUCCGGAAGAGGAGAAUGGAAUUCCUGGUGUAGCGGUGAAAUGCGCAGAUAUCAGGAGGAACACCAAUUGCGAAGGCAGCUCGCUGGGACGUAACUGACGCUGAGACGCGAAAGCGUGGGGAGCAAACAGG